rnacentral:lncRNA from 1 species
AAAGACCUUAUCCAUGGAUUCCCUCAAAGAACGAUAUUCGAUUCACUUGACGAUAAUGGCCUCAGUUUCGGGAUAUAUUACCAAAACAUCCCUGCAACCCUGUUUUUCAAAUCGUUGAGGAAAUUAAAGCACUUGUUGAAGUUUCACAGUUACGAACUGAAGUUCAAAUUGCAUGCGAAGCUAGGGAAGUUACCUAAUUAUGUGGUGGUGGAGCAGAGGUACUUUGACGUGGAGUUAUUUCCAGCCAAUGAUGAUCACCCAUCACAUGACGUGGCAAGAGGACAGAGGUUUGU